rnacentral:rRNA from 1 species
AGUGAACGCUGGCGGUAGGCCUAACACAUGCAAGUCGAACGGCAGCACAGGAGGAGCUUGCUCUUACGGGUGUCGCGUGGGGGACGGGUGCGGUAUAUACCGGAAUCUACCUUUUCGCGGGGGAUAAUGUAGGGUAACCUACGCUAAUACCGCAUACGACCUACGGGUGUAAGCAGGCGAUCUUCUGACCUUUUGCGGUUGAAUGGGCCGAUGUCGGAUUCGCUAGUUGGCGGGGUAAAGGCCCACCAAGGCGACGCUCCGUAGCUGGUCUGACAGGAUGGACCGCCAGACUGGAAGUGAGACUCGGCAGAGACUCCUGCGGGAAGCAGCAGUGGGGAAUCUUACGCGAGGGAGGAAAGCGUAAUCCUGGCAUACCGCGUCAAUGAAGAAGGAGUCAGGGUUGGUAAGCCAUUUUGGUGGGAAAGAAAAACAGCAGGUUAAGCCCGCGCGGUUCUGACGGUACCAACAGAAGAAGCCCCGGCUAACUCCGUG